CUAUUGCAGCUUUCAAGAGAAAACUUAAAGGUAGUUAAACAGCAAACUGUGUGUCCUCUGGGCACAGAGGAAUCCUGUCCUUCCACCAAACUGGCACAACUGCUCUGGCAUCAGCUCUGCUUACAGAAAGCCUUUGGGAGCAUGGCCAAGCAAGAGCAAGUGGACUGCUGGAGCAUUGCAGCGCUCCAUGCUGAUGUUUGUAGCUCUGACACUGCUCCAAGCCAGAUGCUCUGCUCCAGCAUCCGGAAUGGGGAGGAGAACAGAAAACAGAAACGAGGCAGAGAAUCAGUGACUGAGAAACAACCAGGGACACCAGGGGCAGGAGGGAUAAUGUGGGCUACUUAGGGUAAGAGAAAUUAGGAAGGACAGGGGCUAAACAUGGGCUAUUCUAUGGCACUUUCUUUUGAAACCCUCAGUCAGUGAGUCAUGGAAUGGGUUCAGCAGUGGAAAUCCUGCUCUGCAACUGCGCCCAGCAGUUCUCCUCCCUCUUCUGUUAAAAAGUAAUUUUGCUAGAUAGCAAUUACUAUGUGGAACUGUGUAAUGGUGGACUUUUCACUCAUAUUUACAUUAAACAUUAUCUACAAACACACCUGGGGAGUUGAUAAGAAAGUGUGUGUGAUGCUGUGUGUCUUAUGGUGACUGGUACUGAUUAAGCAAAAUGUAGGGUAUGUACUGUAACACACACCUUUGUGAGAGAAUCAGGAAGGAAAAUGAAUAUGGUGACAAAUAAAACUUUCUCCAACAAAAUUCUCCUUUCUUCAGCUUGUGCCUUGCUCUUUACUAGGGUGCAACUGAUACAGGACAUUUCAGCAAGUUUUAGUAAGAUAAUGUUGUCCCAGAGAUUGUAAACUAAACAAGUUUAUCUCAGUGCUCUCCACCUUUGCCGGCUUUCAACUCAGUUCUUGGAGGCUUUCUGUCUGUGGGUUAUCCAGAUCUCUGUACUUCUUACUCUUGAAAAACACAAAUAACGUCGCCCUGCUGCUGGCGGCAGUGUCUGCAUUGCUUUGGACUUUGGCCCCUGGAAGUGUCCUACACCUGUGCGGCUCCAGAGCCCCCACUGAGCCCCACUGAGAAGCUCUGUGCCCCUGUUCUGCCUGGGAAGGCCCCUUGCCCUGCGCUGCCUCUGCAGCCCUGCACCUUAACCCCUGCUUCUCACUUAGGGCUGCACACAGAGACCCCUCCAACCCCACAAACCCCACACAUAAUUGAUGUAGUAAAUGUUUAUGUUCAGGAGCGAGGAAAGAAAACCUUACAGGUUAAAAGCAUCCAAAAAGGUCUGGUGGAGUUAGUUGUUUUCUGUUAAAAUGAAUUACUGCACAACCACUAGGAACAGCCUUCUCCAUGUUUUGAGAACUUAUUGCAAGGAUUACUUAGCUGGUAUUUUCUCCACUUUUAUGCCAAAAUUAUUGCAUCAAUUUUAAUUAGACGUGCUUAAUGAUACAUAAAAGUAACCCUGAGCAGAACUGGGGAAAAAAAAAAGACAAUUAAGACAAUUUUUUCCUUAACCAAACAACUGUGGUAGGAGGAAUUUUAUUGAAAACCUCAGGACAGCAAAAUCGCACACACGAAGAAGCUGUACUCUACAAAGGCACAAUCAUUCAUGAAAUGUAACACAUAAGGCUGUAGAAAGGAGCUAAAAGAAAGGCCUUUCUAUUCCAAAAUAAAUUUACAAUUUCAGAAAUGAAAUAAAGAUGAGUGGAAGGUAAGAGCAAGCAGAACAGAAAGCAUUAAUUAUGUUGUGCAGAGACAAAAAUGUAACAAAAGAAGGGAAAUGAGAAGCAGCAUUUUGCCAGCAAAGCCAUCGUAUGAGCUUUUAGAUCCAGUUGUUCAUAGAAAUUGGCAAGAAAGGGAAUUCUGUGCCCGUAUGCCCAACACAGAGGUGGAUGGGGUGACCACUGUUUUAGCCUUGUACUUCUGAGACAGCAUUUGUAAAUAGAGACAAGAGAGACACAUCCAGGGCCAAAAUGAGAUGAAGAAAAACAUACGAGAAACCAUAAACUAACUUCUUAUGAAAAGCAGAAAAUAGCUGAACUCCUUCCACCUUCUCAUGUAGUACUGUAGUUUAGACUCAAAUGGCAGGAGCAAAAAUUGGUAGCUGUCACUGUUUUUGUUGUUCAAAUGCCAGCAGCAAAUGCCUCACAGGAUAUGUAUGUGUAUAUACGGCUUGGAGCUGAAAUCUUCUCAAAAGCUGAAAAUGUUAUUUACAAACACAAAAAUAAACACAGCCAAACACCAGUGCAAGUCCUGGACUCUCUGAGAUGGCUGGCAGUGUGAUGAAUGCAUGCAGCUUGAUGGAAAUAAUGCCACAUUUACCUUUUCAAAGCUUUUUUCAAAUACCGGUAUCCAAUCCGAAACUGCAGGGACUGAUGUGCAGUGAGGUGGGACAGGCAUCCAGAAGGUUGCCUUGUUGAGGGUGUGGGCAGCAGCAGCAGCAGCAGGGGUCCUUCAGAAGGCCCCCAGUGCUCCUGCCAUACACAGCUCUGCCCUUCUUAGGAGGAGUCCAUGUAUAGGUUGACAUCUCUCGAGUGAUGGCUACCCUUCACCCUGGAAGCUUGAAAUAAAGAGAGGGAAAGGAAGGCCCUUCACAGUCCUGCAUCCCAACUGAUCAGGGUUGUUAACCAUUACUGUGUGCAGUUCUCCUACAGUCCUUAUCUAAAACGCAGGCAUAAGGCAAUUUCCAGGAUCACUGUUAACUGGUCAGAGCAAAUUAACAUGACGAGUGAAGCCAGGCCUGUCAGACUACCAACACUGUCUUGAGACAUAGAAUCAUUAAUGUUGUAAUAGACCUCUAAAAGCAAAUCCAACUGUCAACACAUUACCACUAUGCCCACUAAGCGUAUCCGUCAGUGCCACAUCUACAUGGUUCUUGGACACCUUCAGGGAGAGUGAUUAUACCACCUCCCUGAGCAGCCUGUUCCAAUACCUCACCACUCCUGAGAAGAAAUUCUUCCUAAUACCCAACCUGAACCUCCCCCUGGUGUAACUUAAGGCCAUUCCUUCUUGUCCUAUCACUGUUACCCAGGAAAAGAGGCUGACCCCACCUUGCUAUAUCCUUCUUUCCAGGUUGUUGUAGAGAGCAAUGAGGGCCUGCACAGUAAAAUGUUAGCUGGUUGAUGAGUAUAUUUUGUUAGGGGGAAGCAAAACUCCUCAGCAUCUGUGGGAGUGAUCAUCCACUCAAUCUGACUGAGAAAUAGAUGUUGUCUUGCUUCCUUCUAUGCCUGCUUUCUCAGUUGUCUCGAAGGAUGCACAUGGCAGAGCUCUGGGCAGGGCUGCUGGGUCUGAUGGGUGCCUUAGGUCUGAGCAGUAGGCAGAGUUCCUGCAGAGACCCGGCAGGAGCAGUGUGCAGCAGGCUUCAGGGUGGGAAGCCCUCAGGGAGAAAAUGGUCUCUGACUUUUGUCAGCUGUUCUCUGUCUUCAUGUGUGUGCUCUGAGAGCAGAUGUUUGGGCAGGCUUGCCUGUGUAAGCACUUUAAUGCAUAAUUUAAAUAAAUAUUAAUUACUAUUGUAAACAAUUAUUUUCAGUUAUUCCCCAGUGAAUGACUAGGAUCAGGUCUGCUGUUGGGCAAAAGCCAAGGUCCUGCAGUGACCAAAGAGCUGCAUGGAGGCUGGGGCCUUGCUGCCAAGCAGCAGUGCUGCGAGUACAGGAGAUGGCAGAAGAAAGCCCUGCAAUGAGUUCAUUUGCAAGUUAGUCCCACAGCGUCAGCAAGAGGAAACAACAGCACAGUGCCAAGUGGUAGUCCUGCUCACUUCCAUUCAGUCUCAGUCUACAUGAGAAGCUCCGAUCUCAGAACAGCCCUCCAGCAUCAUUGCUUUUCCGGUGCACUUGCCAGCUAUCCAACCAGACUUUAUAAAGAAGACGCGUGAUUUUCUCUCCUUUCUCUCCACCCCACCAGACGUUUUUUCUAUUAAAGAAUCUAAACAUGUUUGGUCUCUUCCUAAUAAAAACUGUUAAUAAUUACUUCAAGUAUACAAAGACUUGCUGCUUUUCUUUUUCUUGGUAAGAUGUUCUGUUUCUUACUCUUGGUGCUACAGCCAUCACCCUGACUUUUGGAUAUUUGGCAUAAUAUAUUCAGUAGGAAAAUGGAAUUACUAAUAUCUCUUCAGAUAAUUUCCUUGGCUUUUGGACUCUACUUCUCAGCACAAAUCUGCGAGAAUGUUGUUGAUCCUGCUUGUCAGACUUAAAACCUGUUGGGAGAUGAGUCUUGGAGCAAAUCUGAAGUCCAGCUCAUCUUGAUGUCUCACCACAGAGGACAAAUCUUCCAUUCUGGGAGAGAGAGUGAGAAGCUGAUCAGAAGUGCUUACUGACCCUCUCUCCUCCAGGCUACAGGGAGGGUGUCAUGACCAUCAACCUGAUUUGACUGGAGGCAGGCUGGGAACUUCAGAAAAGCCAAACAACGGCCUGCUAAUGGGAUUUAAGCCAACCUGGGUAGAAAGUCAUUGGUUUUGAUAAGAAUUAUGUGUCCAUCCAUCCAUCCAAAGCACAGGAUUAUGUCACUGUGAGCAUUAUGGGAGCCACAGAAAACUGCUUUAAGAAUACCCAGAACUUUGUCAUAUGUUCACAGUAGUUUUAUAUCAAACUCACAGAAGACUGUUCUCAUUGUGCAUCAGGUAGAUCAUUAUAUUUUGGCAUGACUUUCAUCACUGCACUGAAACCCUCAUCUCGUUUUGCAAAACUCACAAGCUCCACUGUGUCUGGUAUGGGCAGUAUCCCCCAUCAGCAUCUUGAGCAUCUGGAGCCACUGCCAUUGGAUCUGCACUCUCUUGCAGAAGCAUGAAAAACAUAAAAUUAAUAAAAUAAAUCUUCUGGUAAGCAAAGCAAGGAAGAAUUGCUACAGAUGGUGCCUAUGUCUUUUUCAGCUACCUGGACAUCAGGAGGAGAGGGGCAAAGAGGCAGAAAAAGUUAUUUAAAGAUCUUCUAGCUCUCUUCCAUCUGUAGGUGCCCUCCUACAAAUGAAUCUUUGAAAAUGCUCCCAAACUUCUCUUUCUACCUUUUUCUCCAUGUAAUUCUUAUUCUAAUAUUUUACUUCUACACCUCUGAUAAUCGGUAUUGGCUAAAAUGGAUUUUUCUGUCCACUUUCCCUGGUUUUUCCACUGCACUUUAGCUCACACUUCCUCCAGUUCAUGAUUAGCAAAGAUUUUAGACCCAACUCCCUCUUUCAAUCACUGCAUGAUCCAAGUCUAGCUGCUUCCUCCUACAUAAUAGCUCACAGAUACAACCUUUCUCUCAGCUGCCUGCUAAGACUCAUAGCAGGAUCCUAUCAUUUUGCACUUUGUCUGUAAUAAUCUGGUCUCCAGCCAUGUUCCAGCCCUACUGAUGCCUUUACUUCCAUUCAAAACACAGAGAUCAGAACCAUGUUCCUGGCCUGUUGCUUUGGCUGCAUCACUACGCUCCUUCUGUCCAUCCACUGGUUUCACAUUUCCAAACACAAGCAUCUUUGCCUUCGUCGGUUCCUCUCCAUGAUCUGGCAAAGAUGACAGCCUCGCUCAGCAUGUUUGCUUCUUUCUCAGAAGAAAAGGAAGUUACUUCUAUGCUUUCAUCUGCCUGUUCCCUAUGCAUAAGGAAAAACACUAUGGAAAAUGUGUAAUUUAACAUCUCCCAAUUCCUAUGCAGGCUUCUCUGUCUGUGGACAGACAAAUUCUAUAAUUCCUCUCCUGCACUGGCC
ensembl:lncRNA